rnacentral:rRNA from 1 species
UGAAGUCGGAAUCGCUAGUAAUCGUGGAUCAGAAUGCCACGGUGAAUACGUUCCCGGGCCUUGUACACACCGCCCGUCACACCAUGGGAGUGGGUUGCAAAAGAAGUAGGUAGCUUAACCUUCGGGAGGGCGCUUACCACUUUGUGAUUCAUGACUGGGGUGAAGUCGUAACAAGGUAACCGUAGGGGAACCUGCGGUUGGAUCACCUCCUUACCUUAAAGAA